AGCGAACGCUGGCGGUAGGCCUAACACAUGCAAGUCGAACGGCAGCACAGUAAGAGCUUGCUCUUACGGGUGGCGAGUGGCGGACGGGUGAGGAAUAUAUCAGAAUCUACUUUUUCGUGGGGGAUAACGUAGGGAAACUUACGCUAAUACCGCAUACGACCUACGGGUGAAAGCAGGGGAUCUUCGGACCUUGCGCGAUUGAAUGAGCCGAUGUCGGAUUAGCUAGUUGGCGGGGUAAAGGCCCACCAAGGCGACGAUCCGUAGCUGGUCUGAGAGGAUGAUCAGCCACACUGGAACUGAGACACGGUCCAGACUCCUACGGGAGGCAGCAGUGGGGAAUAUUGGACAAUGGGCGCAAGCCUGAUCCAGCCAUACCGCGUGGGUGAAGAAGGCCUUCGGGUUGUAAAGCCCUUUUGUUGGGAAAGAAAAGCAGCAGGUUAAUACCCCGCUGUUCUGACGGUACCCAAAGAAUAAGCACCGGCUAACUUCGUG
rnacentral:rRNA from 1 species